rnacentral:rRNA from 1 species
GACGAACGCUGGCGGCGUGCUUAACACAUGCAAGUCGAACGGAAAGGCCCUGCUUUUGUGGGGUGCUCGAGUGGCGAACGGGUGAGUAACACGUGAGUAACCUGCCCUUGACUUUGGGAUAACUUCAGGAAACUGGGGCUAAUACCGGAUAGGAGCUCCUGCUGCAUGGUGGGGGUUGGAAAGUUUCGGCGGUUGGGGAUGGACUCGCGGCCUAUCAGCUUGUUGGUGGGGUAGUGGCUUACCAAGGCUUUGACGGGUAGCCGGCCUGAGAGGGUGACCGGCCACAUUGGGACUGAGAUACGGCCCAGACUCCUACGGGAGGCGGCAGUGGGGAAUAUUGCACAAUGGGCGGAAGCCUGAUGCAGCAACGCCGCGUGCGGGAUGACGGCCUUCGGGUUGUAAACCGCUUUCGCCUGUGACGAAGCGUGAGUGACGGUAAUGGGUAAAGAAGCACCGGCUAACUACGUG